rnacentral:rRNA from 1 species
GACGAAUGCUGGCGGCGUGCCUAAUACAUGCAAGUUGAGCGAUGAAGAUUGGUGCUUGCACCAAUUUGAAGAGCAGCGAACGGGUGAGUAACGCGUGAGGAAUCUGCCUUUGAGCGGGGGACAACAUUUGGAAACGAAUGCUAAUACCGCAUAACAACUUUAAACAUAAGUUUUAAGUUUGAAAGAUGCAAUUGCAUCACUAAAAGAUGAUCACGGUUUGUAUUAGCUAGUUGGUGAGGUAAAGGCCCACAAAGGCGAUGAUACAUAGCCGACCUAAGAGGGUGAUCGGCCAUAUAGGGACUGAGACACGGCCCAAACUCAGACGGGAGGCAGCAGUAGGGAAUCUUCGGCAAUGGACGAAAGUCUGACCGAGCAACGCCGCGUGAGUGAAGAAGGUUUUCGGAUCGUAAAACUCUGUUGGUAGAGAAGAACGUUGGUGAGAGUGGAAAGCUCAUCAAGUGACGGUAACUACCCAGAAAGGGACGGCUAACUACGUGCCAGCCGCCGCAGUAA